CAACCGCCGUACCUCUGGUCGCCGGAAACCGCCGCUGUAGCCGCCACCUUCUUGGGAUUGUUUAUCGUGAAUUACUCUGUCGUACGCCGCUGUCAGAGCUACCAUUCCACUACUGCCGCCUUUGCUCUGAGCCGUUGAUUGUAGCGAGUAUUGUUGUCAUUGCGGCUGCUCGGUUUAGUCGCUCCUCUCUAGUACGGAUCGAGAUCUGGUUGCUGCACGUUGGUGAAUUUAAGUUACUGCUGUGGGUGUGGAUACCGUGGAGCUGUGGUUGUGGCUGUUACCAAUGUCGGGCCGAGAGGAAAAGAGUUUCGGUGACGUGUUUGGUCUAUAGUUUUGACUUAUUAAGGAACCGAAUGAAGAAACAUUAAGAAGAGUUAAACUGCGUUUGGUUUUAUGUUGUUGUAUUAAUUGGAUUAUUUUCUUCCCUCGUCUUUGUUAUCACAAGUUUGUAAGAGGGAUAGGAGUUGUAUGUUUUAUAUGUAUAA